UACAGAGGUCUCAAGCGUUGUUCGGAUUCACUGGGCGUAAAGGGUGCGCAGGCGGUUGGGUGUGUCAGAUGUGAAAUCCCGAGGCUCAACCUCGGGUCUGCAGUCGAUACGAGCAAACUAGAGUGUUGCAGGGGAGACUGGAAUUCCUGGUGUAGCGGUGAAAUGCGCAGAUAUCAGGAGGAACACCGGUGGCGAAGGCGGGUCUCUGGGCCGAUACUGACGCUGAGGAGCGAAAGCGUGGGGAGCGAACAGG
rnacentral:rRNA from 1 species